rnacentral:rRNA from 1 species
CCUACGGGAGGCAGCAGUGGGGAAUAUUGCACAAUGGGGGGAACCCUGAUGCAGCAACGCCGCGUGGGCGAAGAAGUACCUCGGUAUGUAAAGCUCUAUCAGCAGGGAAGAAAAUGACGGUACCUGACUAAGAAGCCCCGGCUAAAUACGUGCCAGCAGCCGCGGUAAUACGUAGGGGGCAAGCGUUAUCCGGAUUUACUGGGUGUAAAGGGAGCGUAGGCGGCCUGGCAAGUCUGGAGUGAAAGCCCGGGGCCCAACCCCGGGACUGCAUUGGAAACUGGGGGGCUGGAGUGUCGGAGGGGUAGGCGGAAUUCCUAGUGUAGCGGUGAAAUGCGUAGAGAUUAGGCGGAACACCGGUGGCGAAGGCGGCUUACUGGACGAUAACUGACGUUGAGGCUCGAAGGCGUGGGGAGCAAACAGGAUUAGAUACCCGUGUAGUC